rnacentral:lncRNA from 1 species
AUGGGGAUUUGUGAGAUUCAAACUCAUCUAUGGUUCACUCUUUUAGGAUCAGAUAUGAACAUCCUCCAGAUCAAAGCAUCUCUUGCAUUGCUUCUAGGUUCUGCAGCUGAGGAUGGCAGUAGAUGGGGGCUGGCUGGCAGGUGUAGCCCACAGAAGUGUUACUGUGCAGCUUUAACAUCAACACCACGACAGCAGCGCCAGAGGUGGCAGACAGAUAACAAAGACAUUAAUUACAUCAGCCAUGCCAGGCUUGAGCGGUGGGAAUUUCUGUUCUUAAGAUAUGGGAUCAGAAAAGAAGAUCCAGUUCUGCUCAUUAGACAUCAGAUGAGAAAACUCCCCAUACUGAUGGAGGUGUGGUGAAACUGAGACGCCCAGGCACUGCUGGAGGCAAUGUGAGUUCCUGUGGCCCUUUUGGAAGACGCGUUCGAACACCCAUGCUCCCCCGCCCCCCGCCCAGGGCACGUGGAAGUUUCAGGGCCAGGGAUUGGACACGUGUGUCACAGUAGGGACCCAAGCCGCUGGAGAAACCUCACUGGAUCCUUAACCUGCUGUCACUGCACCACAAGGUAACUCCUACCUAGGCUUCUUAGUUCAACAAUUCUACCUCCAAUGCGGCAAUCUCAAAUGCAGCCAAAGCUUUUUGUAGUAAAACAAAACUAAACCAAACAAAACUUCAAUGCAGUGUUAUUUACAGUGGUGAAAAGGAGAACGGAAUCUAUAUGUGUAACGAGAGGGGGAAGAGUUAGGUCAUUGAUGGAAUCCAUUUGCUGGAUUAUUGUAAGCCCUGUUGUGAGUCUGGCCCACCUGGAUCUGUAUCUUGCUCUUAUCUUCCCUGUGUCUUAGGGGAUGGCGGUUCCAUUUCGGAUUCUGCCUCCCUGUCUGUAAGGCUGAACUGAGGGGACCCUGCAGAGUGGUUGUGGGAAUUUUGGCUUGAGAUUUGGUACAUUGACACAGGAGGGAGGGAGGGGCUUUUCUUGUUUCUCAGUCCUUCUUGACUUUGCACUGAGCACUGUUCUUCCAAGUGUUGGGAUAGAUAUUCUUGUGACUCAAAGGGUCCAUGUGCCCAAAGGAUUUUACCAGGAAAACAACAUUUGCUGAAGUUAAAAAAAAAAAAAAUUACAUGGAAUUCCCAUCAUUCCACAGUGGAAACAAACCUGACUAGUAUCCAGGCAGAUGCGGGUUCUAUCCCUGGCCUUGCUCAGUGGGUUAGGGAUCCGGUGUUGCCAUGAGCUGCCCUGUAGG